UACGUAGGGGGCUAGCGUUGUCCGGAAUCAUUGGGCGUAAAGCGCGUGUAGGCGGUCCGGUAAGUCCGCUGUGAAAGUCGGGGGCUCAACCCUCGAAUGCCGGUGGAUACUGUCGGGCUAGAGUGCGGAAGAGGCGAGUGGAAUUCCUGGUGUAGCGGUGAAAUGCGCAGAUAUCAGGAGGAACACCAAUUGCGAAGGCAGCUCGCUGGGACGUUACUGACGCUGAGACGCGAAAGCGUGGGGAGCAAACAGG
rnacentral:rRNA from 2 species